CGAACGCUGGCGGCAUGCCUAACACAUGCAAGUCGACCGAGACCUUCGGGUCUAGUGGCGCACGGGUGCGUAACGCGUGGGAAUCUGCCCUUGGGUUCGGAAUAACUCGCCGAAAGGCGUGCUAAUACCGGAUGAUGACGUAAGUCCAAAGAUUUAUCGCCCAAGGAUGAGCCCGCGUUGGAUUAGCUAGUUGGUGAGGUAAAGGCUCACCAAGGCGACGAUCCAUAGCUGGUCUGAGAGGAUGAUCAGCCACACUGGGACUGAGACACGGCCCAGACUCCUACGGGAGGCAGCAGUGGGGAAUAUUGGACAAUGGGCGAAAGCCUGAUCCAGCAAUGCCGCGUGAGUGAUGAAGGCCUUAGGGUUGUAAAGCUCUUUUACCCGGGAUGAUAAUGACCGUACCGGGAGAAUAAGCUCCGGCUAACUCCGUG
rnacentral:rRNA from 1 species